AGAAAAACUAAAUUUAAAUAAGAAAGAGAUGGCGAGCGGCGGCGGAGGUGGAGGUGGAGGUGGCGGAAAGGUGUCGUUCAAAGUUACGUUGACAUCUGAUCCGAAACUCCCAUUCCAAGUCCAAGAUUUAGCGUACCGGAAGCAGCCCCCUUUACGACAGUUCUGAAAUUCGCCGCGGAGGAAUUCAAAGUCCCUCCCCAAACCAGUGCCAUCAUAACUAACGUGUCGUAGUAAAGAUCACCGUUUAAAAAGAUGGCUAUGCAGAAGUCUAAUUCACUUAUUGGGAUUUUGAGUCCAUAUUACGUGUGUUCGAAUGCUAAAAGCUGCUUCUUCUGCAUGUCUAAUGCUGUUAUUUGAUCAGAUGGAGUGGGAAUCAAUCCUCAACAGAGUGCAGGAAAUGUCUUUCUCAAACAUGGCUCGGAACUGCGCUUGAUUCCUCGAGACAGAGUUGGUGCCUGUAUGUAAGCUUGAGCUCGAGUUUUAGACAUUUUUCCCUUAUGCAUUUCAAUAUGUAUUAGUCUUUUGUGUUCUUUAGCUACCACCCAGACAGCAGAAAAUGGCACAGCCAAACCAAUUUACAAUUUAAUUAAAAAAAUUAAAUUUGAAGCCCGUGGACUAAAAAA